AUGUCGCUUAUUCUUUUCAACAUUGUGGCAGAUCUUCUAGCAGUUUUCAUUAGCCGAGCCAAGGAAGCAGGUCAUGUUGCGGGCUUAAUUCCUCAUCUUGUGGAUGGUGGGGUAUGGGUACUUCAGUAUGCCGAUAACACUAUCAUCUUCAUGGAACAUGACAUUGAAAAGGCAAAAAAAAAUAUGAAACUUAUUCUUUGUUUAUUCGACCAGUUAUCUGGUCUCAAAAUUACUUCCACGAGAGCGAACUCUUCUGCUUUGCAAAAACCAAAGAAGAAGAGGAUCAGUACAAACAUCUGUUUGGUUGUGAGUUAG
rnacentral:rRNA from 1 species